rnacentral:rRNA from 1 species
UACGGAGGGGGCUAGCGUUGUUCGGAAUUACUGGGCGUAAAGGGCGCGUAGGCGGCUUUGUAAGUCGGGGGUGAAAGCCUGUGGCUCAACCACAGAAUUGCCUUCGAUACUGCAUGGCUUGAGACCGGAAGAGGUAAGUGGAACUGCGAGUGUAGAGGUGAAAUUCGUAGAUAUUCGCAAGAACACCAGUGGCGAAGGCGGCUUACUGGUCCGGUUCGUGACG